GGGUGUGGCUCAGUGGUAGAGCGCUUGCCUAGCAUGCAUGAGGCACUGGGUUCAAUCCCUGGAACCACA
rnacentral:tRNA from 1 species